GAGUUUGAUCCUGGCUCAGAUUGAACGCUGGCGGCAUGCCUAACACAUGCCAAGUCGAACGGAAACGAUGGAAGCUUGCUUCCAGGCGUCGAGUGGCGGACGGGUGAGUAAUACUUAGGAAUCUACCCAGUAGCGGGGGACAACUCGAGGAAACUCGAGCUAAUACCGCAUACGCCCUACGGGGGAAAGCAGGGGAUCUUCGGACCUUGCACUAUUGGAUGAGCCUAAGUCGGAUUAGCUAGUUGGUGAGGUAAAGGCUCACCAAGGCGACGAUCCGUAGCUGGUUUGAGAGGACGAUCAGCCACACUGGGACUGAGACACGGCCCAGACUCCUACGGGAGGCAGCAGUGGGGAAUAUUGGGCAAUGGGGGAAACCCUGAUCCAGCAAUGCCGCGUGUGUGAAGAAGGCCUGCGGGUUGUAAAGCACUUUCAGUGGGGAAGAAAAGCCUAGGGAUAAUACCCAUGGGUCUUGACGUUACCUACAGAAGAAGCUCCGGCUAACUCCGUGCCAGCAGCCGCGGUAAUACGGAGGGAGCGAGCGUUAAUCGGAAUUACUGGGCGUAAAGCGCGCGUAGGCGGCUUUGUAAGUCGGAUGUGAAAGCCCUGGGCUCAACCUGGGAAUGGCAUUCGAAACUGCAUGGCUAGAGUAUGGUAGAGGGAAGUGGAAUUUCCGGUGUAGCGGUGAAAUGCGUAGAUAUCGGAAGGAACACCAGUGGCGAAGGCGACUUCCUGGGCCAAUACUGACGCUGANGCGCGAAAGCGUGGGUAGCAAACAGGAUUAGAUACCCUG
rnacentral:rRNA from 1 species